rnacentral:lncRNA from 1 species
CCAUAUGGUAUGGUUAUGGAGGUGGAUUGAAGUGGUUGGAAAGAAUUUCUUAUAUAAACUCAGUUGUAUAUCCCUGGACUUCUAUCCCUUUGAUUGUGUACUGUACAUUGCCUGCCAUCUGCCUUCUUACUGGGAAAUUUAUUGUUCCUGAGGUAAGUGAUGGUGUCUGAGUUAUCCUUUUGGAUUACAUUCUCAACAACCUAGAAAGCCUACUUAAUAUGAUAUUAUGAUGGUUUGAAAUGUUAAUGAAUCUAUUCAUAGAAAAAAGACUGUAAUAGCCAACAAUUUAGAAAAUUACUUGGAUUUUGUUUCCGGAGGCUUUAGCUAACAAUAUUGUCAAUUUACAGAUAAGUAAUUAUGCAAGCAUCGUAUUUAUUUCUCUCUUCAUCUCCAUUGCUGCGACCGGUAUUCUUGAGAUGCAAUGGGGCGGUGUUGGAAUCGAAGA